rnacentral:rRNA from 1 species
UACAGAGGUCUCAAGCGUUGUUCGGAUUCAUUGGGCGUAAAGGGUGCGUAGGCGGCGCGGUAAGUCGGGUGUGAAAUCUUGGAGCUUAACUCCGAAACUGCAUUCGAUACUGCCGUGCUUGAGGACUGGAGAGGAGACUGGAAUUUACGGUGUAGCGGUGAAAUGCGUAGAUAUCGGGAGGAACACCUGAGGCGAAGGCGGGCUACUGGGCUGAUACUGACGCUGAGGCGCGAAAGCCAGGGGAGCAAACGGG